rnacentral:rRNA from 1 species
AACAAGGUUUCCGUAGGUGAACCUGCGGAAGGAUCAUUAAA